UUCUUGCUUUUCAAAAUCCUCCUUCUCUUGCUCUCGAUCCUUCUGCCUUAGCUCCCAAUCCUUCUGCUUUAUCUCCCAAAUAGACUGAAUCUCCAACAUCACAUUCCCUUUGUCUUCCACAGUUGUUGUCUUACUCACAGCCUUUUUUGCUUUCGCCUUUGCAGCUUUAACACCAAUAGGACGAGACAUUGCUUC
rnacentral:sRNA from 1 species